GUAAAGCAUGAAGAAGAGGAACAUUUCUUACAGUGAUGGAAACAAAUAGAACAAAAUGAGCUUAAGAAUAUAGAAUGUCAAACUGAGAACUUGCAAGCAUCCAGUGGGAACAUACAGUUAUUAUAAACGGACGCUUCAGACAUAGGUCUUGGAGCCAUGCCGAGCUGAAGGAUCAACGGAGUUGAACAUCCUGUCAUGUUCCUGAGUCGGAAACUGCUGGACUGGGAGACCAGUAGUCAAGUCUACUAAGGUUUGUGAGGAAAGCCAUUGGCCAGCACCACAUUCUGUUUCACCUUCAUGGGCUGCAAAGGCAAGCUGCAGAUUCAGUGAAAUACUACCCCCAGCAGGUUCUCCAAAUAUGGCCGUGUGUAACUGACACCUGAAGGUCUAUCUCUGUGGGAUGCACUUUACCAAUGAAGAUGUCAAGUCACCUAGAGAGGUGAAGAUAAUCAAGCAUUUUAAAACAAAUCAUUUUAUUUGAGUAGCAUAGAAAACCAUUGUGAAUAUUGCAAAAAGUGUACUAGUGCUCAUUGGGGAUUAAGUUGAAAAUUAAAAUCUUUAUGGUUUCACUGGUGUCUCUG